UACAGAGGUGGCAAGCGUUGUUCGGAAUUACUGGGCGUAAAGGGCGCGUAGGUGGCCUUCUUAGUCAGACGUGAAAUCCCCGGGCUUAACUCGGGAACUGCGUCUGAUACUGGAAGGCUGGAGUUCGGGAGAGGAAUGUGGAAUUCCUGGUGUAGCGGUGAAAUGCGCAGAUAUCAGGAAGAACACCCGUGGCGAAGGCGGCUCUCUGGUACGUGACCGACGCUGAGACGCGAAAGCGUGGGGAGCGAACAGG
rnacentral:rRNA from 1 species